AGGGUAAACGCUGGCGGCGUGCCUAAAAACAUGCAAGUCGAACGCACAUCCUUCGGGGUGUGAGUGGCAGACGGCUGAGUAACGCGUGGGUGACGUACCUAUUGGUGGGGAAUAACUGCCCGAAAGGGUGGCUAAAUACCGCAUACGCCCGCUUCUACAUUGGAGUGGGGAAAGUCUCGUAAGAGACGUCGAUGGAGCGGCCCGCGUCCGAUUAGCUUGUUGGUGGGGUAACGGCCUACCAAGGCGACGAUCGGUAGCUGGUCUCAGAGGAUGAUCAGCCAGACUGGGACUGAGACACGGGCCCAGACUCCUACGGGAGGCAGCAGUUAGGAAUUUUGGGCAAUGGGCGCAAGCCUGACCCAGCAACGCCGCGUGGGUGACGAAGGCCUUCGGGUUGUAAAGCCCUUUUUCUGAGGGAAGAUGAUGACGGUACCUCAGGAAGAAGCACCGGCUAACGUACGUGCCAGCAGCCGC
rnacentral:rRNA from 1 species